AUCUAACACAGUUAAAUGACAAUCACAAACAGCAGCAGGAAGUUCAGUGAGGAGGAAGUUCCUGUGUGUGUUUGUGACUGAUCUGCAGUGACUUACAGCUCAAGCACUGAGAGCCUCAACAGAGAACUGAUCUGAUCUGAUUCAACAUGGACACAUGCUUCAUACUGAUUCUCAUUGUGGGGACAGGUUUGGUGACUGGAGACAACAUUGAGCCAGAUAAAGAGAAAGAGAAAAACACAAAAGAAAGAGAAACUGUCAAGAUGAGCUGCUCAUAUAGUACAACUAGUCAGUAUGUUUGGCUUUACUGGUACAGACAAUAUCCAAACAAAGAACCUCAAUAUUUAUUACUCAAAAAUGCACGAUCAGCGAGUGCUUAUUAUGUCACCUCUGAUGAUCGGUUUCAGUCGACUACAUCACAAACAUCCACUGAACUCACUAUUACUGAUGUUCGUCUGUCAGAUUCAGCUCUCUAUUAUUGUGCUCUAAGAGUUGGAGCCCAGUGAUACAAAAUAUGAAACACGUCGUACAAAAACCUGAAGCUCUUUUCACUUUGAACCGAUCUAGUGAAAACCACAAUCAAAACCACAAUCUAUCCAGCCCCAAAUAUAAUAAAAUAUGUGGUAACACCUGUGUGAGGCUGAAUUAGGCCUGUUAAAAAAACGUAAGAAACAUUAAUAUUCUCACGUUCCCUGUCAUUCCCGAACUACAUUUCCAACAAUCCUCCCCAGCAAUCACCUGAGCUCACUUCACCAAUCAGUAAUCACCACACCCAGCUGCAGCACAUUAUCUGGACUAUUUAAGCCACUCACUUCCUGUCAUACUUUGCGAGGUCUUGUUAACUCUUGUUACAUUUCUGAGCGUUCAUCACUCUUGUUUGUCUGCCUGUUUCUGAUCCUGUCUGUUCCCUGUGUAUUAUUCUCUGCUGCCUGCCCUUUGGACCUUUUGCUUUGUUUUGGAUUUACGAUUGUUAUCUGCCAG